rnacentral:lncRNA from 1 species
AGUCGUGAGCUGCAUGAUGACGCAUGAAUCACCGACUUCUUGUAUUUACGAUGGUGGUCCCAUAAGAUUAAAUUGGAGCUGAAAAAUCCCUAUUGCUUUGUGAUGUUGUAGCCAUUGUUAGAUCAUAGCACGACACAUUACUCACUGGCUUGUGAUGAAGCUGAUGUGAACAAACCUACUGUGCUGCCAGUCACAUACAAGUAGAGUAAAUACAACUAGUUUUUCAGAAAGUUAACUGUAGAACAGCCUCAAGCAAGUCCUUCAAGAGGUUCCAGAGGAAGAUAUUGUUAUCAUAGACGAUGACAGCUCCAUACAUGCUAUUGCCCCUGAAGUGGGCAAUUGAACCUUCCAGUGUGACAAGAGGUGGCAGUGGAAGACAGUGCUAUUGAGGAUCCUGACCCUACGCAGGCCUAGGCUAAUGGGUGUGUUUGUAUUUUACUUCUUAACAGAAAAGUUAAAAAAAUUUAAAAUAGAAGAAAGCUUAUAGACUG